rnacentral:rRNA from 1 species
AGUGAACGCUGGCGGUAGGCCUAACACAUGCAAGUCGAACGGCAGCACAGUAAGGGCUUGCUCUUACGGGUGGCGAGUGGCGGACGGGUGAGGAAUACAUCGGAAUCUACUUUUUCGUGGGGGAUAACGUAGGGAAACUUACGCUAAUACCGCAUACGACCUACGGGUUAAAGCAGGUGAUCUUCGGACCUUGCGCGAUUGAAUGAGCCGAUGUUGGAUUAGCUAGUUGUCGGGGUAAAGGCCCACCAAGGCGACGAUCCGUAGCUGGUCUGAGAGGAUGAUCGGCCACACUGGAAGUGAGACACGGUCCAGACUCCUACGGGAGGCAGCCGUGGGGGAUGUGGGACGAUGGGCGCAAGCCUGAUCCAGCCAUACCGGGUGGGUGAAGAAGGCCUUCGGGUUGUAAAGCCCUUUUGUUGGGAAGGAAAAGCAGCAGGUUAAUACCCCGCUGUUCUGACGGUACCCAAAGAAUAAGCGCCGGCUAACUUCGUG